rnacentral:Y_RNA from 1 species
GAGGUAUAAAGGUAGUGAGUUAUCUCAAUUGAUUGUUCACAGUCAGUUACAGAUUGAACUCCUUGUUCUACUCUUUCCUCCCUUCUCCUACUGUACUUGACUAGUCUAAA